rnacentral:rRNA from 1 species
UACAGAGACUGCAAGCGUUAUUCGGAUUCACUGGGCGUAAAGGGUGCGCAGGCGGCCGUGUGUGUGAGGCGUGAAAGCCCGGGGCUCAACCCCGGAAUUGCACCUCAAACUACAUGGCUAGAGCAUUGGAGAGGGUAGCAGAAUUCACGGUGUAGCAGUGAAAUGCGUAGAUAUCGUGAGGAAUACCAGAGGCGAAGGCGGCUACCUGGACAAUUGCUGACGCUCAGGCACGAAAGCGUGGGGAGCAAAAGGG